UUCCUCGGAGCUUUGCUGAAACUGCACAAAAAAUCGAGCUGGGGGGUUCCCUGGUCCCCGAUGUUGGGGCGGAGAGCGCGGCGCCGAGGGAGGGGGCGGCGCAGACCGGCCUAGGGGACACCUGGUCGAGCGCAGCCGCCGCUCCGCUCGAGCCCUGCGCUCCAGUGCCCCCACUGGCUGGAGAGCUCGCCCAGACCGGGGGUCUUCCUCCGUCGCUGACAGAUUUUAACCAUUAGAAGAAUACCAGUUCUGGAAAACAACCAAAGUUUCUUUGAUUGAAUGCCCAUGUAAUGCAUUGGAAUAUGAUAGGCGAUUAAGGUUUAACAAUGUUAAAAUGAAGAUAUUACUAAAAUGGCCCUCUAAAUAGCCCAACAAUUAUUAUUUUCUUUGUCCUAUGGAUUUGGCUUUGAAAGAUGUGCUGCUCUUAAUAAGCUUUUCAUUCUGCCGGCCAUACUUUUUCUCCCUACUCUGGACGCCUCUAGAUGACUCCAGCUGUGCUCUCCUUCGUAAUCUACACACCCUCCUCAACCAUACCCUGGACCAGUCAUGUCCUCAUCUCAGACACGACUUUUCUGGUGAGAAACUGAAUUCUUUCAAUGCAUGCUUCCUUAUACCAGAUUGCCUUGGUUUCUCUAUAGUCAAUUUGAAGGCUUAAAUUUGAAUUCUGUAAAUAAAGAUUCUGAAAAACUAGCAUACAAAUUCUUCAUUUAUGCAAAUUAAACUAUUGCUAAUAAACAUUUGUCUUCCCAAA
rnacentral:lncRNA from 1 species